rnacentral:rRNA from 1 species
CUCCAGUUGAUCGCAUGGUCUUCUGGGAAAGCUUUCGCGGUAUGGGAUGGGGUCGCGUCCUAUCAGCUUGACGGCGGGGUAACGGCCCACCGUGGCUUCGACGGGUAGCCGGCCUGAGAGGGCGACCGGCCACAUUGGGGCUGAGAUACGGCCCAGACUCCUACGGGAGGCAGCAGUGGGGAAUAUUGCACAAUGGGCGCAAGCCUGAUGCAGCGACGCCGCGUGAGGGAUGGAGGCCUUCGGGUUGUAAACCUCUUUUAUCGGGGAGCAAGCGAGAGUGAGUUUACCCGUUGAAUAAGCACCGGCUAACUACGUGCCAGCAGCCGCGGUAAUACGUAGGGUGCAAGCGUUAUCCGGAAUUAUUGGGCGUAAAGGGCUCGUAGGCGGUUCGUCGCGUCCGGUGUGAAAGUCCAUCGCUUAACGGUGGAUCCGCGCCGGGUACGGGCGGG